UUUACACAUGCAAGUCGAACGGAAACGAAAAUAGCUUGCUAUUUGGCGUCGAGUGGCGAACGGGUGAGUAACGCGUAGGAAUCUACCCAGUAGAGGGGGAUAGCCCGAAGAAAUUCGGAUUAAUACCGCAUAAUCUCUACGGAGUAAAGAAGGCCUCUUUACAAUGCUUUUACUAUUGGAUGAGCCUGCGUUAGAUUAGUUAGUUGGUAGGGUAAAAGCCUACCAAGGCGACGAUCUAUAGCUGGUUUUACGAGAAUGAUCAGCCACACUGGAACUGAGACACGGUCCAGACUCCUACGGGAGGCAGCAGUGAAGAAUAUUGGACAAUGGGGGAAACCCUGAUCCAGCAAUGUUGCGUGUGUGAAGAAGGUCCGAGGAUUGUAAAGCACUUUCAGUAAGCAAGAAAAAUGUAAAUCUAAUAGAUUUGCAUGUUGACCACUUAUAGAAGAAGCACCGGCUAACUCCGUGCCAGCAGCCGCGGUAAUACGGAGGGUGCGAGCGUUAAUCGGAAUUACUGGGCGUAAAGGGUAAGUAGGCGGUUUAUAAAGUCACAUGUGAAAGCCCUAGGCUUAAC
rnacentral:rRNA from 1 species